rnacentral:rRNA from 1 species
AUUGAACGCUGGCGGCAUGCUUUACACAUGCAAGUCGAACGGCAGCGCGGGCUUCGGCCUGGCGGCGAGUGGCGAACGGGUGAGUAAUACAUCGGAACGUGCCCAGUAGUGGGGGAUAGCUCGGCGAAAGCCGGAUUAAUACCGCAUACGACCUGAGGGUGAAAGCGGGGGAUCUUCGGACCUCGCGCUAUUGGAGCGGCCGAUGGCAGAUUAGCUAGUUGGUGGGGUAAAGGCCUACCAAGGCGACGAUCUGUAGCUGGUCUGAGAGGACGACCAGCCACACUGGGACUGAGACACGGCCCAGACUCCUACGGGAGGCAGCAGUGGGGAAUUUUGGACAAAGGGCGAAAGCCUGAUCCAGCAAUGCCGCGUGUGUGAUGAAGGCCUUCGGGUUGUGAAGCACUUUUGGCGGGAACGAAAAGGACUGUGCCAAUACCACGGUUCGAUGACGGUACCCGCAGAAUAAGCACCGGCUAACUACGUG